UGCAAAUUACUUGGAUAGAAAUAGCACAGAGCUGGUUUGAUUAAAAUGUGAUACAUAUUUUGAAUUAAAAAUAUGCAAGGUCUUACCAAAUGACCUCAGUGUCGUGUCUCUCCUUGCCCCAAGGCCCCUGAAGGAAUUUGCAUGAUCAUUUGGAGACAGCUUCUCCCUUUCCCUCUGUGGAUCCAGAAUCUCUGCCAUUCAUGGAAAAUCAGCAUGAAAAGCAUAAAUCCAUGGGAAUGAGUGGAAUUGAGUGUGGCACCAUCUCUGCUGAACUGUGGAAACUUUCUGCAAUUAAUUGCACAAUCACUUCAUUUGGAAGAGCAACUGCUAUCAGCUCUGAAUGGCUCCCACAUCUCAGGCACCACUGAGCAGCGGGGUGUUGGCAGCAGAGAGGCUGAAACCUUCUCUCAACACAGGCAAAUAUUUCUGGGCAUCAGCAGCUCCUGCAGCAGAGCCCUGGACCAAUCUGCAUCUUUUCUCCAUCCCAAAACCCUCUGCAUGGAAUUUCCAGGUGCUGGCUGAGCUGAAGCUGAGGAAGGAGAGGAGGUGGCUUUGUCAUUUUUCUGCUGCUCUGUGACUCUGCUCCGGGCCCGUAAUGCACUGCACUGGAAGAAGAAAAGAAUAUUUACACUAUUACAGG